UACGAAGGGGGCUAGCGUUGCUCGGAAUCACUGGGCGUAAAGGGCGCGUAGGCGGACUUUUAAGUCAGGGGUGAAAUCCUGAGGCUCAACCUCAGAACUGCCUUUGAUACUGAGGGUCUCGAGACCGGUAGAGGUAAGUGGAACUGCGAGUGUAGAGGUGAAAUUCGUAGAGUAUUCGCAAGAACACCAGUGGCGAAGGCGGCUCACUGGCCCAUUACUGACGCUGAGGCACGAAAGCGUGGGGAGCAAACAGGG
rnacentral:rRNA from 1 species